CGGUUUCGGUGAGAGUUCUCAGGUGCUUGGAAUCUCCCAGUGUUGUCAUCUGGUAAAGCAGCUGACAGUGAGAUGUGAUGUGUGAUGCCAGAACGUGAGACCUAAAACUCGGAAGCAGCAGAUUCACCAUGAAAUACCUGGGUUUCACUCUACCACCUAUGUUCAUGGAGAACUACGCUACGCUACGCCAACAGGAGGAGGACAUGGAGGAGCCUGAGUACAACUGGGCUGGUACCAUCUCCCACCCUCCCUCCCCUAUUAUGGAUCUAGUCCAGCCUUUCGGAUCAGCUGAGGACGUCGCAGUGGUUGGCUGAAGACGUUGCUCCAUGUCCCGACACACCCAAGUGCUCCCCUUUGUUCGCCAACCCCGUGCACAUCUCCGCUGUGCUUGCCUGCUCCACUGAGGAACUCGCCC
ensembl:lncRNA